GAUCUUUAAUUCAGCACAUCUACCAUUUUUUGAACUGCUUUAAAUUUUCCCUUGUUCUACAAGAUGGAAACUCUAUUUAAACAUCAUAAUUCAUGUCAAUAGGCAUCUUUUGUAAAAUCUCAAGAAUCUCCUAUUGUAGCGGACAAUGGAUCACAGGCGUCCAGUACCGAACAAUUGGAAAUGCAAGCUCUUGGUGAAGGGAAAAGUUCGGGCUUCCAGAUAUCCUAAAAUCCAAACAUGAGGAAAAUGAAGCCUACAUAUCUGAAUUAGAGGGUUUUUAAUAACAAUGAACUCAGUGGCAAGAUUCCUUCAACCAAAAGGACUACUGCAGACUUUGGAGAUAUUGUGAGUAUCUCUAUCACAUAGCCAAUUAAAAUCAUAAUAAGAUGCUAGCUGUGAAUACCUAUUA